CCCUAUAGGCUGUCUCCUCGUUGUCAGGUCUAUGACCUCCUCCCUAUAGGCUGUCUCAUCGUUGUCAGGUCUCUGACCUCCUCCCUAUAGGCUGUCUCAUCGUUGUCAGGUCUAUGACCUCCUCCCUAUAGGCUGUCUCAUCGUUGUCAGGUCUCUGACCUCCUCCCUAUAGGCUGUCUCAUCGUUGUCAGGUCUCUGACCUCCUCCAUAUAGGCUGUCUCAUCGUUGUCAGGUCUCUGACCUCCUCCCUAUAGGCUGUCUCAUCGUUGUCUAUGACCUCCUCCCUAUAGGCUGUCUCAUCGUUGUCAGGUCUAUGACCUCCUCCCUAUAGGCUGUCUCAUCGUUGUC